rnacentral:rRNA from 1 species
AGUGAACGCUGGCGGUAGGCCUAACACAUGCAAGUCGAACGGCAGCACAGUAAGAGCUUGCUCUUACGGGUGGCGAGUGGCGGACGGGUGAGGAAUACAUCGGAAUCUACUUUUUCGUGGGGGAUAACGUAGGGAAACUUACGCUAAUACCGCAUACGACCUACGGGUGAAAGCAGGGGAUCUUCGGACCUUGCGCGAUUGAAUGAGCCGAUGUCGGAUUAGCUAGUUGGCGGGGUAAAGGCCCACCAAGGCGACGAUCCGUAGCUGGUCUGAGAGGAUGAUAAGCCACACUGGAACUGAGACACGGUCCAGACUCCUACGGGAGGCAGCAGUGGGGAAUAUUGGACAAUGGGCGCAAGCCUGAUCCAGCCAUACCGCGUGGGUGAAGAAGGCCUUCGGGUUGUAAAGCCCUUUUGUUGGGAAAGAAAAGCAGCAGGUUAAUACCCCGCGGUUCUGACGGUACCCAAAGAAUAAGCACCGGCUAACUUCGUG